UACGUAGGGAGCAAGCGUUGUUCGGAUUUACUGGGCGUAAAGGGCGCGUAGGCGGCUUAUUAAGUCAUCUGUGAAAUCUCCGAGCUUAACUCGGAACUGUCAGCUGAUACUGAUGUGCUAGAGUGCGGAAGGGGCAAUCGGAAUUCUUGGUGUAGCGGUGAAAUGCGUAGAUAUCAAGAGGAACACCUGAGGUGAAGACGGGUUGCUGGGCCGACACUGACGCUGAGUGCGCGAAAGCCAGGGGAGCAAACAGG
rnacentral:rRNA from 1 species